rnacentral:rRNA from 1 species
GACGAACGCUGGCGGCGUGCUUAACACAUGCAAGUCGAACGGUGAAGCGCCUUCCUUUUUGGUUGGUGUGGAUGAGUGGCGAACGGGUGAGUAACACGUGAGUAACCUGCCCCCUUCUUCUGGAUAACCGCAUGAAAGUGUGGCUAAUACGGGAUAUUCUGGGUCUGUCGCAUGAUGGGUCUGUGAAAGAUAUUGUUUCGGUGGGGGAUGGGCUCGCGGCCUAUCAGCUUGUUGGGGGGGUGAUGGCCUACCAAGGCGGUGAGGGGUAGCCGGCCUGGGAGGGUGGACGGUCACACUGGGACUGAGACACGGCCGAGACUGCUACGGGAGGCAGAAGUGGGGAAUAUUGAACAGUGGGCGAAAGCCUGAUGCAGCGACGCCGCGGGAGGGAUGGAGGCCUGCGGGUUGUGAACCUCUUUGGCCAGUGAAGCAGGCCUGCCUCGUUUGUGGGUGGGUUGACGGUAGCUGGAUAAGAAGCGCCGGCUAACUACGUG